CUUGUAAGUUUUUACUUUAAAUAAAAGUUCUAUAUGAUUUCAUUUGUCAAUUUUUCAUAAAAGUCGAUAUCUUAUCGAGCUACCACAAUCGAGUAGCGUUUGUGUAUUCAAAAGACUGCAUUUAAGUUUAUAGUCAUUAAUUCUAUUUUAGGAAAGGAAAAGAGACCAUAUCUGCAGUGUGGAAACACCAGCCUUCAACCGUUAUCUGGACACUUGACUGCAUUUUAUACCAAGAUUUCAAAGCAACAUUAUAUAAACAAAAGUCAUACAGAACAACCGCUGCAUUGGGAUACAGAGCCAAAGAGUUCAUAUAUUUCACAAAGUUUACAUCAUCACGAAGGCAAAAUACGAGUACCAGAAGGUCGAUACUAUUUUGUUUAUGCAGCUAUACACGUCAAUUUAAGUUCAUCUCCAACAGAGACUGACAUAAAUUCAAGAUGUACUGUUUGGAUACGAAUAUGUACGGGGACUACCCAGGAACGGGAACGAACAGUUCUCUACAAAUCAAAAUAUUUCAAUUCAAAGAAUAUGACAACUGUCACAUCCUUAAAUAUACAGGGAGCGGUAUAUCUUCCAAAAAGAGAAAACGUUUUUGUCAAAAUGUCAAACAUUCAUACGCUUAUUUCUAACUCGGCUGGAAAUGUUUUCGGAAUUUAUCCAUUAAACUAAAAAUCCUAUGUUUGAUUACGUGUACUUCUGUUACUGUAAAAUAAACUUGAUUAACCUUU